GGGGAUGAUGAGAAUCGAUAGAAGUUAUUAUUAAAAUAAGGCAAGCCCAGCUGGAAACCUGGUAAAACCUUCCAAAAAUCUUAAUAAGUGCCAACUUAUUCAAGAAACCCGCAUUAGCAUUUGCCUAAUGCCAUCCUUUCUAAUGAAUCUUGAUAAUUAGAAAGGGUGUCAUUCAUCAAGAUAGAUAAUUCUUUUUACCCACCAUAGCUUCAGCGAAGGCGGGUUGCCUCAGAGAAUUAUCAAAAUAAUAGAGGCACAAAGCUGUGAAGUUUUGCCCGUUGAAUAUUCAUAGCUUUUCAUCAAACGGGCUAAGCUUGUAGAAUUGUUUUAAUUAAACUUCUAGACGCGGGCGCAACUCCCGCCAUCUCCACCA
rnacentral:tmRNA from 1 species